rnacentral:rRNA from 1 species
AGUGAACGCUGGCGGUAGGCCUAACGCAUGCCAGUCGAACGGCAGCACAGUAAGAGCUUGCUCUUACGGGUGGCGAGUGGCGGACGGGUGAGGAAUACAUCGGAAUCUACUUUUUCGUGGGGGAUAACGUAGGGAAACUUACGCUAAUACCGCAUACGACCUACGGGUGAAAGCAGGGGAUCUUCGGACCUUGCGCGAUUGAAUGAGCCGAUGUCGGAUUAGCUAGUUGGCGGGGUAAAGGCCCACCAAGGCGACGAUCCGUAGCUGGUCUGAGAGGAUGAUCAGCCACACUGGAACUGAGACACGGUCCAGACUCCUACGGGAGGCAGCAGUGGGGAAUAUUGGACAAUGGGCGCAAGCCUGAUCCAGCCAUACCGCGUGGGUGAAGAAGGCCUUCGGGUUGUAAAGCCCUUUUGUUGGGAAAGAAAAGCAGCAGGUUAAUACCCCGCUGUUCUGACGGUACCCAAAGAAUAAGCACCGGCUAACUUCGUGC